rnacentral:rRNA from 1 species
GACGAACGCUGGCGGCGUGCUUAACACAUGCAAGUCGAACGGAAAGGCCCUUCGGGGUACUCGAGUGGCGAACGGGUGAGUAACACGUUGGUGAUCUGCCCUGCACUUUGUGAUAAGCCGGGGACACUGGGUCUAAUACCGAAUAGGACCACGCGCUUCAUGGUGUGUGGGGGAAAGCUUUUGCGGUGUGGGUUGGGCCCGCGGGCUAUCAGCUUGUUGGUGGGGUAAUGGCCUACCAAGGCGACGACGGGUAGCCGGCCUGAGAGGGUGAACGGCCACACUGGGACUGAGAGACGGACCAGACUCCUACGGGAGGCAGCAGUGGGGAAUAUUGCACAAUGGGCGCAAGCCUGAUGCAGAGACGCCGCGUGAGGGAUGACGGCCUUCGGGUUGUAAACCUCUUUCAAUAGGGACGAAGCGAAAGUGACGGUACCUAUAGAAGAAGCACCGGCCAACUACGUG